GUUUACUUUUCAACACCAUAUCCAUGUUGACAGGCCCUGUGCACAAAAGAAUUCUCUGCUGAAAGCACAGUGCUAAUUGUUGAUGAUUGUUAAAAGCCAACAACCUUUUUUUCAUUUUUACCUCUCUUCAAUUGUUCAGGAAUCUCAUUCUUUUAUCUUUUUCUUUUUUUUUUUGUAGAUAGAGGAAUUUUAGCACUUAGGCACUCAAGAGAGAGAAAGAAGGACAAAGUGAUGAUUUUAUGUUCUCCUUUCUUUUUGACCUAACUCAGUGAGAGAAACUCGGAAAAAACUACUAACCUGUAUGGUGCCACCCCUUCUUGAUAUGCUAACAAUGAGAAAGUGGGUCCAAGGCAACUCCAUGUAGAUUUGGGCCAACUUUGGCCAAGAGCACAUCUCAUAGUACAUAUAUUGAUGGAAUAGUGCUGCCAUGUCGUAACCCCACUCCCUUGGGAAUUCUGUGAUCUACAGAAAGGCGGAAGAUGAGACAUAGGCCCUCUUACAUCCAUCCAUCCACCUGUAAAACCAACACAAACGUGAGGUCAGCUGCAAUGGCAGCCAGACUGCCUGGGGUAAACCUUUUAAGGAAGAUGAGAGGCUAAAAUAGGUUCAUCAGGUACAAGCUGGCUACCUAAUUCCCAUUUUGAUGGGGACAACCUACAGAUAAAUAGAAAGGGAUAGGGAGGGCAAUCUAGUUAGUGACACUUAUUGAAGAUCCUCUGGGUGAUGAGAAGUACAAGGGCAUAUAAUAUAAUGGAACAAUAAAUUUAUCAUUUGAGUGUAUAGUAUAUGAAAGGCAGUGUUGCACAGUAAUAGCAUAUUAAGAAUAAAUUUCAGGGACAUAAAGUGGAGCCAAAUAACACUAGUUGAAAAUCUCCCUUUCUUUGAUUUUAGAACAACAGUUCAACCUAAGACUUGAACUAGGAAGACAUUCUACAGUGGCAUUUAAAAGUGAAUUCUUAGAAAUAACGUGGUGUGGGCUUCACCAAUUUUACUGUGUAUGUUUCCCGUCUCUUCUGUUUUUCCUCUUAUUUCUCCUUUUUUUUCUUUAUAACUAACUUCACCUUGACUCCUCUUCAUGGUGCUCGAGAGUUCAUUUCCUCUUUUCAUCUUCCUGUCUGUUGUGCCAGAAUGUACCUACCAAUUUAACACAAAUGUCCCGUGGAAUACAAAAGUGGAAUUGGAUCACAGAAUUGAUUUUGAACUCAGAGAAGGCCUUGUGGAGAGCCGCUAUUGGUCAGCUGUCACAUCGCACACUGCCUAUUGGUCGUCCUUGGAUGUUGCCCUCUUUCUUUUAACCUUCAUGUACAAACAUGAGCACGAUAAUAGUGCAAAACCCAACUUUGAUCCAGUCUGAACUGUUGAAGGACAUUAAUGGCCCCAAACUGAUUUUUUUCUGUUAAAAUAUAUGUGUCAACAUACGGAAGUUUCAGGUUUAAGUAUGUUUCACUUUUGUUUAGGGUAAGAAAUAUUUGAAUUUAGAAGCACUUUAUUUUACUUUAAAAAACAAAGCAAAUGUUCCGUCUGAAAGAAGUUAUUUAUAGUUUUCAUCAUUUUAAGUAUGAGUCUGACAGAACCCCCUGCAGAGAAUCAAGCAAGACCUGGAAGUAAGGAGGACUUGGGUGGACUGCAAGGUCAUAGAUCACAAUCUAAUUUCUCCCAAAUAUAAAGGCAUAUUAAUGGGUUGAAUCUAAUGUAUUAACCAAAAUAUGUUAUAAAUCUAAAAUGAUCAAGGUCCAGGGUAUUCUACGUAAAGAUCACAAGGUGGUAUCAUUGUUUUCGAUUUCCAUGAAAGCUUCCAUUUCCACAAUUUCUUUGAAACAUGAGUGUAACAGAUUUUAAAUGUUUUGAAUUUAACUUGUUUAGAAAAACUAAUGCUAAAAUAGAAACAACAUUUUAACUAUUUAUAGUUUAUUACCUCUGACUAAUUGUUUUAUGUCAAUGUAUGAAACAUUACAUUUUUUUAAAUGUUUCCUUUGAACAAUUUAAGAACCACAUUUAUUUUCUAUAGUGUUAAGACCCUUUUUUCUCAGAACUCCAUCUUUUUACUCUUCAGAUGAAUAUAUAGACACUGUGGCAUACUUUCAGCAUUUUUUUCAUUAAAAAGUUGUAGUUUUACACAAAUAACACUAGUUCAAUUAUUUUGGAAAAAAAUGAACUUUUUAUUAUGUCCCGUGUACCUCAGAGAAAGCUAAAGUUUUCUAAACUUGACAUGGAAUACUCCAUAAUGGGUACAUUUAAUAAACUUUACUGGAAAAUUAGUAAACUUCUUUGGAGUAGGGAGUAUGACAACUAAAUUUUAAGUAUAUAAACGUCUGUGUGCCAACAAUUAACAUAUAAAAAGGGGAUGGAGUGCCACUAACAAAUUUUAUUUUUAAAGUGUUUAAGGAAUCGUAAUUGAGACAUAGACACAAUAGUUCAGGAUUCUGAGGCAUUGAAAGAGUUUCCUCAGCUGUAAUUUUUUCCACAGUGCUUUUCAUCUGAGGGGCUCAAAGUGCUUUGCGAUUUAAUAACCUAUGUAGUAGCUUCUUGAGGUAAGUAAAUGAGAGUUAUUCUCAUGUUACAUGUUAGUACACUAAGGCACCAAAACAUUUAAAGUGCCUUGAUUACAGAGCAAGUCAGAGCUCAGACUGAAGGCAGACCAUAUUCUUUUAUGUGCUGUUCAUUGAUAAUUCACAUGUGACCUCUUGUUUUGCAAACAGUAAUAAUAACAGAAGUUGCAAUUCAUAAUUUGGAGAAAUGACUGUGAAGCCAGUACUUUACCCUACUCGUCAUAUACAUUCUUGGGUUCUCACACUCAAAGGAGGAGUUACUUAGAGGGGAUCAGUAGCCAUCUCUGCCACAACCAACCCAUACUUCUGAGAGGCUUCCACUGGGUUCCACUUAAGGUGCUGUCUUUGCUUAUCUUAAGCUCCCCAGGAAUCGUCAAACUGGGAGCAAAGUUGGUCGGUCGUACCUCUCACCUUCUCCUUUCUUUUUAAGAUGAUAGAAUCUUUGGAUUACUUGUAGGUUUUACUCGGCACUGUCAGUCCUCUAUCUGUUUUGGCCUUUCAUUGAAUUUGCACAACAUAAAGCACUUCUUUUUAGUGCUUACAAAGAUCCCAAGGCUCCAUGCCCAGAUACGUGACUCACUAAGAAACUCUUGCUAUAAAAGGCUUUUGAUGCAAUCUUAGCAAAGCUGAAGCAAUGUCUUUCGAAUUGAGAGAUUCCUGUGAACUCAGGUCAUUCUCAUACCCUGUGUAUUUCGUAGGUCUAUUUAGUUCUCAGGAGAACUUAAACUCAUAUCCCAUAUGACUUUAUCAUUAAAGGUAUGUGAGCAUUUGGGUGGUAUGACACUCAAAUGCCUAAGAGCUUUAAGGGAUUCAUUCUCUUUUUUUUUUUUUUGGCUGCUCUGGGUCUUCGUGCGGCUUGCAGCUUCUCUAGUUGCGGGCUUAGUUGCGGUAUGUGGGAUUUUAGUUCCCCAACCAUGGAUUGGACCUGGACGCCCUGCAUUGGAAGCGUGGAGUCUCAACCACUGGACCACUAGGGAAGUCCCAAGGGAUUCAUUCUUAACCAUUAGAAUGUGAAGAGCCCCUUUUACCUGAGGAGUGAAAACCUAGCAAACCUUUUCAUUUGAUAUAGAGUAAAAAGAAAAGUAUAUUCCCAUAGCUAUAGGAAUAUAUCUGCUUCCCUUUUUUCAUAUUGAGGAAAAAAAGCCAAUUUAACCACAUGGAAGUUAUUUGAGUUCUUGAAAACAACAUUCAAAACCCCCUUUUCAACAUGAGAUAUUCUGGAUUAUUGGAUAGGGGUUUUGUUUUCAAUUCAUUAUUUCAUCAAUAGAGAUGGUGAUUUUGGUUUCACAGUACUCUUGUUUCCAUGUCUCUGCAUGUUAUCAUGGAAUGUACUUGUAUAUACUCAAGUAAUAUACAGAGUAUGUGUAAUUCUAGCUUGACUUAGAAGCUGAGUCAGUUACUGAGUAAUAUUUUGCAACUUUAUUCCAGCAAGUACUAAAUUUUUGAUACCAUUAAAAUUUUAUUCUCUA